GAAACUGCGAAUGGCUCAUUAAAUCAGUUAUCGUUUAUUUGAUAAUACCUUACUACUUGGAUAACCGUGGUAAUUCUAGAGCUAAUACAUGCUGAAAAUCCCGACUUCGGAAGGGAUGUGUUUAUUAGAUAAAAAACCAAUGCCCUUCGGGGCUUUUUGGUGAUUCAUGAUAACUUUACGGAUCGCAUAGCCUUGCGCUGGCGACGGUUCAUUCAAAUUUCUGCCCUAUCAACUUUCGAUGGUAAGGUAUUGGCUUACCAUGGUUUCAACGGGUAACGGGGAAUUAGGGUUCGAUUCCGGAGAGGGAGCCUGAGAAACGGCUACCACAUCCAAGGAAGGCAGCAGGCGCGCAAAUUACCCAAUCCCGACACGGGGAGGUAGUGACAAUAAAUACUGAUACAGGGCUCUUUUGGGUCUUGUAAUUGGAAUGAGUACAAUUUAAACCUCUUAACGAGGAACAAUUGGAGGGCAAGUCUGGUGCCAGCAGCCGCGGUAAUUCCAGCUCCAAUAGCGUAUAUUAAAGUUGUUGCAGUUAAAAAGCUCGUAGUUGAAACUUGGGCCUGGCUGGCGGGUCCGCCUCACCGCGUGCACUCGUCCGGCCGGGCCUUCCUUCUGAAGAACCUCAUGCCCUUCACUGGGCGUGCUGGGGAAUCAGGACUUUUACUUUGAAAAAAUUAGAGUGUUCAAAGCAGGCCUUUGCUCGAAUACGUUAGCAUGGAAUAAUAAAAUAGGGCGUGCGUUUCUAUUUUGUUGGUUUCUAGAGACGCCGCAAUGAUUAACAGGAACAGUCGGGGGCAUCAGUAUUCAGUUGUCAGAGGUGAAAUUCUUGGAUUUACUGAAGACUAACUACUGCGAAAGCAUUUGCCAAGGAUGUUUUCAUUAAUCAGUGAACGAAAGUUAGGGGAUCGAAGACGAUCAGAUACCGUCGUAGUCUUAACCGUAAACUAUGCCGACUAGGGAUCGGGCGAUGUUCUUUUUCUGACUCGCUCGGCA
rnacentral:rRNA from 1 species